UGCUUAUCUCAUAAUAACUUUUGGUGUAGCCAUGUAUGUAUAGCAAACUCCAAAGCACCCUUUUAGGUUAGUGAAGACAGUUUGUAACACUUUGGAAGGAACUUGUAGAAGAACGUUUAGAUGAAGCACCUGGAGGGAGCCUCAGUCUGUUUUCUCAGAGUUCUUGUAGUUAGAAUAUCCUUGUAAAUAAGUAAUAAAGAGAUCAUUUUUUUUUGAGAAGUAUGAAUCUCUUUCGUGUUACUAUCCAGCAUCUAUGAAACAUGGUGGCAAGAAAGAGGUCUAGCAAGAAUCACAACAAAACAAGUGAAUGUGGUUAACAGGAAAACAAAGAAGUACUAAGAGGCUAAAUAGGUGACUCAUACGAUAGGAAAUGAGAUAAUGAACAGAAAUAGAAGCCUGAGCUGAGGAAAGUGGAGAAACUCUUUGAAUUCUGUAACCUCAAAAGGCUUAUCUCAUGGAAAUUGUUCCUCUAGGCCUUGGGGGAGACUGGUCAGAGAAGAGGAUUUAACCCUCAAGGGUAAUCUACAAAUAAAGAGAAAUAGCAGAACUGAAACUUCAUGUGGAAGUGAUAAAGGAGUGUCAGCAGGAGGGAUGAAAACAAGUUCCUGUCUUGGAAUUGCGUCUCUAGAUAAGCAUUUUAUAAAUAUCACACAUACAUAGAUACACAUUUUAAGUGUUUGACUAGUCUUUUGUUCUAAACACCAACUGAAAAAGUUACUUAACGUUCUUACUUCUGGAACAUGAGGUUUUAAAGUAGCCAUUGAGUUUCAUUUUUUGUAAACUAGAAAGGUCCUCUAGCAAAUUCCACUACUCCGCAGUUUAUGGAUUUGGAUUAAAAUGGCAAUUGUGAGCAGCCUUGUUCAUCCCACUUUUUCAUCUCAUAAUAUAUCUUUUUGUUUCUCCAUAAAUUAAAUUAUAAUUCAUAAUUCUCUCUCUGAAUUAGCUUCCCACAGAGAUCCUUAUUAUAACAAAUGUAGUUGUUAUAACUUGUUUUAACAAUUUAGUCUAUAAAUUGGUAGAAAGCACUUUAUGUUUUUCUGUUAGUGAAAAGAACUUAUUUUUAAAGGGAAUUUAAAUGUAUUUUAUGUGUUACAUGCUGACUGGCUGAUAAAUUUUUGCAUAUCCAUCAUUACAGUACAUUAAGCAUGUAAUAACACAACAAAAAGGAAUACUAGCAGCAGACAUGAACAUGAAUUUGAAAACUAACAUUGAAGAGAAAAAAAAUAAUAUAAGACCAACCAAACAACAACAAAAAAACUAGCAAAGAUUUAUGCCGAUAUGUUAGGGUAUGUGGAAAUGUAUUUUAAUAAAUACACAGAUUUCAAAGAGAAACUAUUCCACAGAAGUAUUGAAAAACUGUCUUAUUAUACAGUGCUUAUCCUGCAGGCAGUUCUGAGUGGUAAGGCUUUAUUUAUAGAUAAAUAGAUAGUCAGACUGAUAUAUUUGUAUGCUAAGCUCUUCUUGAAGACUGCGUUUUUUUUUUGUUUUGUUCUGUUUUGUUUGUUUGUUUGUUUUUUAAGCUAUCCCUAAGCUGCCAGGAGCAGCUGGGCAAGAGUUGGCUGUUUGGCAGGGCUGUGGAACAGGCAGCUGCCGGUCCUGACACGGCUUCUUCCCUGGAGCCAGCACAGGGCUGCUCAGAGGCACCCUCUCAGUGCUACCCAUGAUCCAGCAGCCUGACCGCUCAGAGCCGAAGGAGACUGCAGACCUCCUUUGGGCACGUGGAGUCCUGACAUAGGCAAUACACCUUGCAUUGGGCAUUUUUAUGUCACUAGCCUUUUGUGAACAACCAAAAAAGCUUGUGACUGUGUCUUGAAUCUGAGCCCUCCAAAGUUAGAGAAAAUUCCAGUCCUCACAACCCCCAUUCUCUAAUUCUUUGUUCAUAUAAUUGGUUGAAAUAGGAUUGAUAAAGAUGAAGCAAAUUCAUGACUUUUAGAGUCUCAGAUGUCUAACUUAGUCUCCUAAGAAGAGAAACCUUGACAUUUCAUGUUAGUUCACAAAUAUGUCAAUAUUAAAGAUUAUUUUUAAAGUAGGGAUUACUCAAUGCCACCUUGGUCAUACCAACCUUCUGUAUUUAUGAACAAAUUAUUGACGAUCAUCAUGAGCAAAAAGCCCGUAUAUCUAGGCACUUUAACCCCAAAUGGUUUAUGUCACUUGGACAGGAAUAUUCUAAACAGCUUAAAAUAUUAAUUGAGUGAAACCUGUUGUCAUUCUGGUGAAAGGUCCAUUGCAAUUACUUCAUUAAUUUAUGUUCUGAUACCAUCACAGAAGAUCGUUUGAAUUAGAAUAUGUUCAUGUCUGAGUAACUUCAGCAAAGGUUUAUUUAACAACACGAACAGUUCAAAUUAAUCCUUCUUGUCUAUGAUGGAAAUAAAUCUCUCAAGGUUCUCUGGAAUGAAGCACAUAACAAGGUCAAAAGUGAGCAGCACAGAAAUCUGUCAGUCCAAAAACACGGAAAUCUCAUUUUAUAUAUAUACAUAUAUAUGUGUGUGUGUAAAUAACUCAUUGAAUUCACCCAACUUAAACCUUGUCUUUCUUAUGUAAGUCCUAGCAAUAAAAGGUAAGCAAUAAAAGGUAAGAAAUAACUAGUUUUUCAGGAAAUAGAACUCAUCACUUAUCUGUAAAUCUGACAGUCUAUGGGAGGGGACGCUGGGUGUGGAAUAUUUAAUUGCAACCAUACCACUAUUAAUGACAUUAAAAGUUCUUUAAAAGGUCAUUAAAAUCAUUGCCUGGUGGCAAUCUAGUAUGCUUCCCCUCUGCUCUCUAAGAAUAGUUGGUUUCCAUUUUAGUCUGUUUUGUUCAAUUAGGCUGUGUAAAAAGUAGGACACCAGACAAUAGAAACAUUUUUCUUUUCAGGAAUGAGCUCUUGGUACAUUUUGAAGAGAUCAAUGUCAGAGGGACCUAUAAAGUAACUUAUGCUACACAAUCUGAACCUGUGCUUCCCAGUUCCAGCACCCAUUUGUUUUUAUUUGGUCCUUAUUAAAUACU